GCCAAGCAUGGUGGCAGAUGCCUGUAAUCCCAGUGGCUCAGGAGGCUGAGGCAGGAGGAUCGCGAGUUCAAAGCCAGCCUCAGCAAAAGCAAGGCACUUAGCAACUCAGUGAGACCCUGUCUCUA
rnacentral:sRNA from 1 species